rnacentral:rRNA from 1 species
CGCGGCCUAUCAGCUUGUUGGUGAGGUAACGGCUCACCAAGGCUACGACGGGUAGCUGGUCUGAGAGGACGACCAGCCACACUGGGACUGAGACACGGCCCAGACUCCUACGGGAGGCAGCAGCGGGGAAUAUUGCACAAUGGGCGCAGGCCUGAUGCAGCGACGCCGCGUGAGGGAUGAAGGCCUUCGGGUUGUAAACCUCUUUCAGGAGGGACGAAGCGAAAGUGACGGUACCUCCAGAAGAAGCCCCGGCCAACUACGAGCCAGCAGCCGCGGUAAUACGUAGGGGGCGAGCGUUGUCCGGAAUUAUUGGGCGUAAAGAGCUCGUAGGCGGCUCAGUAAGUCGGCCGUGAAAGCCCGGGGCUCAACUCCGGGACGCCGGUCGAUACUGCUGUGGCUAGGGUCCGGUAGAGGAGAGUGGAAUUCCCGGUGUAGCGGUGAAAUGCGCAGAUAUCGGGAGGAACACCAGUAGCGAAGGCGGCUCUCUGGGCCGGCACCGACGCUGAGGAGCGAAAGCUAGGGGAGCAAACAGGAUUAGAUACCCUGGUAGUCCUAGCCGUAAACGUUGGGCACUAGGUGUGGCGGAUUGAUUGACAUCUGCCGUGCCGCAGCUAACGCAUUAAGUGCCCCGCCUGGGGAGUACGG